CACUUCGCCACACGAGCCCUCCAGCUGGCAGGACGGGCAGCUUCUGUGCCAUGAGAGUGAUAAGGGCAGCAGCCCUCGGUCGUGGCUCGGCUCCUGCGGCCUCGGAUGCUGCCUAGCUCCAUGCGCUGGGGAACUUCCCAUGGGGCAGGUUAUCCCCAUCUGAGUGAUGCUGAGACCCGGGGUUAAGGAGGGUUAGUCAGGUCAUCAGCACUGGCCAGGAACCUGGGUAUAUGGAAGUAACCCACGUGGAGAGAUGGUCUGCCCACUUAUCUGGAAAGGCUGAAGCAUUUCCCAAACCUUGGCACAAUCUAUGGGGAGGAAGGCACUUCAAAAAGAUGAAGGUUAAAGUUUUCUAGCAACCUGGUCACAUAAGGAACUUGAAAGAGAAAUUAAGGUUUGCAUGUAUUUGUUCUGGAAGGGAGCAUCACUUGGAGGACGCCUGCUCAGAGAGGUGCCGAGCUGUCUGGUACCGACUGUGUCUGCAGAGAGGGA